GCUUAUCACCAUUCCAGAUUGAAUAUACCCGAUCUCGGAAGUCAAGCAAUCUCGGGCUUGGUUAGUAC
rnacentral:rRNA from 1 species